CAAACAUGAGACUUUAUUGAACGUUUGCCUGAAUCGGUUACAGAAAGAGUUUUAUUUUGUCUAAUCAGGGGAAACAUAGUUCUAUACAUAGGCAUGCCGUGUCACUGCACAGUCACAGCUGUGAAAACCAUUACCGCCUGCGUCGGAUGCCGCAAACUGAACACUCCAAAGGCAAGACAGUUUGGGAGUGCACAAAUCAAGGACAUGUCACACCCAGGAAGGAAGGGUGUAUUCACAUGGGGCUGCCCAGGGAGAAACAAACUUGACAGACAGUAGCAUGUGCAAAAUCUCAUCAUCAUUUGUAUACAGCAUUUUUAUGAAUACAGAGAUGAAGAAACUGAUCUUCAGUCAUCGAUUUUCUUCUAAAAUGGCAGAGGGUUUUGGGUGUUGGUCAUUUUUGGGCCCCAUAGCAAAUUUUGGAUCCAAUUCCCAGAAUUCCCCUUCCGUUCUCUAUCCUGCCUUUCUUUUAGAACCGACUUUACACGUCUUCCUCUUUCUGUUGUGUUCAAGAAAGCACAGUCAUUAAAUUGUCAUCUGAUAUUCACAGAAAAAUAGGACUUUGUCACAAGACUGGGACAUAAAUAGAAUUAGCAUUUAACAGUAUGUCUGAGGGAAAGGUCUUUACAUGUAUACAUGGUGUUGGCAUGCACAGAUAGGUAGUCAUCGACGAGUGCAAAAAUCUACUAAGUAACUUUUUUUUGUACUCCACAUUGAGUGAAAACAUCACAAGACUGAAGAAUUGAAACCCACCCGUCUUCGGUUCCAUGAAUCUUCACAGUUGUUCCUUGCUUGUCAACCAUUCAUAGGGCCUGUAUUCACAUAGCAUCUCAGAGCAGCAGUGCUGAUCUAGGACCAGGUCUCUCCUGUCUAAAUAAUCUUAUUCACUGUGAUCUAAAAGGCACAACUGAUCCUAUACCAGCACUAAAGCUUGGUACAGACAGGACCAAACAGGCUGCCUUGGCAUGCAGCCCAGUGGCUUAGGCAUAGACAUAGAAUAACCAAUCUUUUCAUUCUAUUUCUAUGGUUGGGGCCCACCUACUGACCCUCAGUGAAUGGUCCAUCAUCUGACCCUAUGACCCAGGAUUACAGCGAAAGACUAUUGGGGUUAUACCAUCUCUGGCCAUUGGCGGGGGUCAUGGGUCAUAGGUCAUUCUACCAUCCCCGCUCUGCUUUUUUGUCUUCCCCCUAUAAUAUCACAGACACAGUAGUCAUUACCUAUGAAGUGCAAAACAACAAUUAUUUUUGAUAAGCAUUAUGCAAUGAAUGUCAUAUCUCUGAAAAAUGUGUUUCCCCAUAUAAUAAAACUGUUACAGUAGACAGUGAAAACAUUUCUUGAUUGAAGAUACUGUUUAGAAGAGUUCAAAGGGAAAAAAACAACCAAUGUUAGCUAGAUAGAUUCCUCACAGACAGACCGGUGUAGGUUUUAAAUGUUAGAUAGAUAGACCUCUCACAGACAGACCGGUGUAGAACGUUAAUAAUCAAAUAAAAUGUAAUGGAAAACAUCUCUAGCAUCAUCAAAACAGUUUUAAAUAGAAGUUAAAAAUAAAAAAAGACACCAGCGAGAUCAUAAAAAAACACUAUUACAGUAGUAAGAUGUCCAGUGGUUUAUAUAAUAUAAUAUAUUAGGCUGGUGUCUAGAAAACCAAAUCUAGCGUAAAAAAAAACCAAACAAACAAAAUAAGUAAAUAUAACCAAAAACUAUCUAUUCAACACUACUAUGUACACGACACAGCGUCUCUGGUACAGAGAGACCUGGUUAGUAUGGAAGGGAGCAAAAGACGGACACAGACCUUGCUGUAACACAAGUCUUUCUUGGCACAGAAAACGCUAGUUACCAGCACCCAGACUGACGAGGAGGGAGAAAGGAC
ensembl:lncRNA